GCUGUAGCUCAGCGGUAGUGCAACUGCUUUGCAUGCAGAAGGCUCCAGGUUCAGUCCCUGGCAUCUUCA